AUGGCUCAGAUUGAACGCUGGCGGCGUGCUUAACACAUGCAAGUCGCGCGUGAAAGGACUUCGGUCCGAGUAAAGCGGCGCACGGGUGAGUAACGCGUGGAUGAUCUACCCAUGAGUUAGGAAUAACGGCUGGAAACGGUCGCUAAUACCAAAUACGCUCCGAUUUCAACUUCGGGGGAAAGGUGGCCUCUGCUUGCAAGCUACUGCUCAUGGAUGAGUCCGCGUCCCAUUAGCUGGUUGGUGGGGUAACGGCCCACCAAGGCGACGAUGGGUAGCCGGUCUGAGAGGAUGACCGGCCACACUGGGACUGGAACACGGCCCAGACUCCUACGGGAGGCAGCAGUGGGGAAUAUUGCGCAAUGGGCGAAAGCCUGACGCAGCGACGCCGCGUGAGGGAUGAAGGUCCUCGGAUCGUAAACCUCUGUCAGGAGGGAAGAACCGCCACGGUGCUAAUCAGCCGUGGUCUGACGGUACCUCCAAAGGAAGCACCGGCUAACUCCGUGCCAGCCGCUGC
rnacentral:rRNA from 1 species